UUGUAUGGGAAGAACAGUUAGAAUGGAAAUGAUUUUAGUUUGACGGUACCAUCCCAGAAAGGGACGGCUAAAUACGUGCCAGCAGCCGCGGUAAUACGUAUGUCCCGAGCGUUAUCCGGGAUUUAUUGGGCGUAAAGCGAGCGCAGACGGUNUAUUAAGUCUGAUGUGAAAGCCCGGAGCUCAACUCCGGAAUGGCAUUGGAAACUGGUUAACUUGAGUGCAGUAGAGGUAAGUGGAACUCCAUGUGUAGCGGUGGAAUGCGUAGAUAUAUGGAAGAACACCAGUGGCGAAGGCGGCUUACUGGACUGCAACUGACGUUGAGGCUCGAAAGUGUGGGUAGCAAACAGGAUUAGAUACCCUGGUAGUCCACACCGUAAACGAUGAACACUAGGUGUUAGGAGGUUUCCGCCUCUUAGUGCCGAAGCUAACGCAUUAAGUGUUCCGCCUGGGGAGUACGACCGCAAGGUUGAAACUCAAAGGAAUUGACGGGGACCCGCACAAGCGGUGGAGCAUGUGGUUUAAUUCGAAGCAACGCGAAGAACCUUACCAGGUCUUGACAUCCUUUGAAGCUUUUAGAGAUAGAAGUGUUCUCUUCGGAGACAAAGUGACAGGUGGUGCAUGGUCGUCGUCAGCUCGUGUCGUGAGAUGUUGGGUUAAGUCCCGCAACGAGCGCAACCCUUAUUGUUAGUUGCCAGCAUUCAGAUGGGCACUCUAGCGAGACUGCCGGUGACAAACCGGAGGAAGGCGGGGACGACGUCAGAUCAUCAUGCCCCUUAUGACCUGGGCUACACACGUGCUACAAUGGCGUAUACAACGAGUUGCCAACCCGCGAGGGUGAGCUAAUCUCUUAAAGUACGUCUCAGUUCGGAUUGUAGUCUGCAACUCGACUACAUGAAGUCGGAAUCGCUAGUAAUCGCGGAUCAGCACGCCGCGGUGAAUACGUUCCCGGGUCUUGUACACACCGCCCGUCACACCAUGGGAGUUUGUAAUGCCCAAAGCCGGUGGCCUAACCUUUUAGGAAGGAGCCGUCUAAGGCAGGACAGAUGAUGGGGAAGU
rnacentral:rRNA from 1 species